AUUUAUAUAGUUUAUAAAAAACAUUAUAUUUUCAUUAUAAAAAAAAUAAAAUUUUUAUUUAUAAAUA
rnacentral:tRNA from 1 species